CUGACACCACUCCACUCGGGCACGCAAAACACAUGUGCCUUCAAACCCGGCCCCUUUCCACACCCCCCGGAAACGACACCCCCUUUCUCACCCGCCGCACACCACCGCCCAUCCCCCCUCCUCCGCCCCUACUCCCAGCGCCCCAGUCCACCCACCCACGUUCCCGGGAACCCAGCCUCCCCUCGCUCCCGGGCUCGCCCGGGGCAAUGGGAGGGAAGCCGGAAGAAGGAUGAAGGGCCCGGGCCCGGCCUAGGCCUCUCGGGCCGCCCAGGGAGGUGAUCAGAACUCCAGGACCAAUUACCUUAGCUUCUGGCUCUUUGUCAGUAGCUGGGCAAAGAACAUGUUGGAAUGGACAGACCCCCCGCUCAGCGCUGCACCUGUUUUCCCUGAUAUUUAUACCACUAAAUGUCGUCAGUAAGUUGUUAUGAAAACCAGUAUUCCGCCUGGGACAACACUGCCUAGCGGUCUCGGCGAAGUUUCAUUUCUAGAUGCGCUAGAUUGUUUUUCUUCCUACAGCCCAGGUCUGGAUUCAAAAUUAAAUGUUAAAAGGUCAUUCUUCCCUCAGCGACCUCUGAUGUUUUGCUCUACUAUAUUAAAAUUUUUUUUCUACAGGUUUUAAAGAAUUUUAAAAGCGAUGAAGGAAAUACUAGCAGUUUAACUUUCAGAUUUUCACAAAAGACAAGUGACAGGUGGUGUUGACAGUAAGAAAUUCUAGGUCACAGACGAAUGGAUAUAGACAAAACCACCAUGCUGCAAAAGGUGGAUCCUAAGGAUCACAAACUGGUAAGCCUGGUGAUGUUCCUUAGCUAAAUUCAAGAACUAUAGUGUUGUGUUAUGCCAUUCUGUUUAAAAGCAUUUUCACUUGUUUAAUUACUCAAUCAAUAUUUAUUAAUCUCCAGUACUAGUACCAGGAGUUGUGCUAGGAACUGGAGAAGCCAAAGUGAGCAAGAUGCAGUCUUAACUGGUUUCAGUUGAGAAAGGAGGGUGCAUGCCUGUAAUCCCAGCACUCAGUGUGUGAGGCAGGAGGAUCCUGGGCCACGAGUUCACAGUUAGCCUGGGCUACAUAACAAGAUCUUAUCUCAAAAAACAUUUUUUUUUUUAUUUUUGUUUUAAAAACAGGAAAAAGGAUUGGGGAUAUAGCUCAGCAGCACAUUGCCUGCUUGGCAAGCACGAGGUUGUGAGUUCAGUCCCCAGUACCAAAGAAAAGAAAUGAUUCCAUUCUUACAAGUUGAAGUUAAAAAAAAAAAAAAGAAAAGAUAUGUUAACUACUUUCUAAUGCUGUAUUUAUCCUCUGGUGUGGGACAUAAAAGGUACGUCGGCCAUUAUAAACCAGUAUCUUUGGUUCUAUCCAUAUCACGCUGGCUAUUAGAGGAUAUUACAAGUGUUAGACGUCCUGAAAGAAGUUAAUAGCUUAGUAGCAGUGAUUGGAAGCAUAAUUGAAUUCAGACAGAUCUCGAUUUGAAACCCAGUGCCUACACUCCAUGGAUAUGUUACCCUAGAUAACCGAUUGUCUUUGCCUAAUUUGUACAGCUGGGAUACAGGAAACUAAUAAUGUAAAUAAAAUGUUUGAUAGUAAGAAUUAAGUGAGCUGUACCUAUUGCUAUCUCUUGGUACCAUUCCUACAAGUUGUAGUCAGUGUGUACAAAGAACAUUCUAGGCAAAGCAAACAACCUUUACAAAAGGCCUCGAGGUAUAUUGGGAAAGGUUUACUUAGAUUGUUAGGGAAAAUAGAGAAUUGAGCAAAGUCCAUAGAAGUCCUUAUAAGGCGGAGUUGGCGGACUGGAGUUUUGCUUAAGGACAAUCAGAUGUUAUUUACAGGGAUUGAAAAAGUCAAGUAACGGACAUUCUGAUUUCCAUUUAGAAAAACACAUUUUGACCCUCAUAAGAACCCUAUUAAGUCAAAAAAAAAAAAAAGUCCUCAUAUUUUAUACUUGGAACAAAGUAAGGCGUGGCAUAGCACAAAAAUACUGUUUUGUAAAAUGCAAAGCCAGGACUUAAACUUGGAGUUCCCGAUGACAAAACCUGUACUCUUUGUCUUAUCUGUUGUGCUAUUAUUAAAUGAUCUUGCAUGUCUUCUGGCAUCUCCUGAUAAGGAAAGUAGUGUUUAUAGUGAGACAGCAGUUCCACAAACUCAUAGGAAGGUAGAUUGAGCAUGCCAACCCUUCAGUGAGAGUCUGCUGUGCUGUUCCAAGUAAGUUCUGUGCUAAACUGUGAUACACAAAAUGUUUGAGGCUGCAGCUGUUGACUGGAGGCCUCUAAGAAAAGUGCUGAAAAUAAAUCAUCUCUCAGUACCAUAUUUAAUAAGGUCUCAGUUUGGGGCUGGGGAUUUAGCUCAGCAGCAUAAGUGCCUUCCUUGCAAGUGUGCAGUCAUGAGUUUGAUCCCUGGUACCGAUAAAAACGAAAAAGACAAAAAAAAAAAAAAAAAAAAAAAAACUCAGGUUAAAUUCUUGUGAACAGGUUAGAGAAAAGAACACAAAGAUACUAGAAUUAGGUAUCAUUAGUACUCUGAUUAAUCAAAAUGUUGACAAAACUAGCUCUGGAUUCCUUGAACAAUACCCAAAGUAUUAAUAAAUUGACAUGAAAAUCUUUAAACCCCUCCUUUGGGCUCUGUCUUUAGCUUUUAUGUAAAGAUUUUAUCUACUGCUUAUGAAAAUACCGUACAUAGCAUCUUUUUUUUUUUCCUUUUAAAUCAGUACUGGGGAUUGAACUCAGGACCACACACUUGCCAGGCAGGCACUUAUGCCACCGAGCUAAAUCUCCAGCCCCUAGCAUUCUUAGCCAACUGUGAUAUAUUGUAAAACCAGUGGAGUCAGAUAUAGCAAUGACAGAUUAGUAUUGAUAGCUCUCUAUCAGCUGGAAAAAUACAUAGUACUAAGACUAAACAAUAUGAAUAUAAAUGUUUUUUGAAUCGGAAUUAACCUAAGAGAAAAAGCAUAUUCUGAUACAUCACUAAUGUUCCAUUUCCCUAGUGCCAGAAAACCAGUUGGCAGAAUACUUUUUAAAACGUUUAAAGUAGGCAUUGCAUUAGCACUGUUAACUAUUCUACUUUGCAAAUCAGUUCUAGGAAAACCUAUAAAAAAUUUUUAUAUUCAAAUACUCAGUGCAGUAUUAUUUAUGAAAUCCAAAAAAUUGCAAAUAAUCUAAAAUUCUACAACAGUGUUUAUGACAUGUUGUAAAUAUGUAACAUGAUCUAGAGUUGUGUGUGCUACAUUACUGUAAUAAUGUUAAGCAAAAAAAAAAAAUUAGUCAGAUACAAUGGUGCACACCUGUAAUCCCAGCGCUUGGGAGGGUGAGGCAGGAGAAUUGCUGUGAGUUUGAGGCCAGCCUGAGCUACUAGUGAGUUCUAGGUCUGCCUGAACUAUGUAGCAAGAAUCUAUUACACAACCCUAAAUAGAAAUAAAGCUUCACUACCCCAAACAUUAAUUUUAUGAGAUGACAGGAUGACAGUGUUUUUUUCUAUUCCCCAAUUUCGCUUUAUGAACAUGUUUCUCAUAUCCUAAACCUUAAAACUUGUUAGCAUUGAAUCUUAGCUACUUAAUUCUGAAAAGUGGGUAUGUAUUAUUUAUUAAAUUAUACUCUGUAUUUUUUGUUUUUAAAUUAUUUGGACACUGGUUGAGCAUUUCUCCACAUUCGCACUAGUCUAGUGUUUCUCAAAAAAUACGUACAAAACUUUUUGACCAUGGAAUACUUUAUUUCCUCUAAUUAUUUUGUGAAAUUCGUGUUCCUAAAAUACAAUUUAGGAAGGACUGUCAUAGUCAUUUAUUGCUUAUUUUCCCCAAAUAACCUGUUUUAAAAAUUACCUACAUUCUUCAUUGGCGUAUCCCCACCCUUCUUAUAAUUUGUACAUUUAUCUGUAAAAAGAAACAGAUGUAGGCCUAACCCUUUGCUCAUGCUGUACCCGCUGACAUUUUCACAGCUCUUCUAUAUCUGGUAUCUUCUCUCUUCUGAUUAUAAGGUAAAUAUGUAAAGGUUCACAUUCAAGUAAUUGUUAAAGAUCCAUUUCAAGUGUGAAAUUUUGUAAUGAAAACAAAAUCUAAGAAACUGGAAUAGUACUUAAAAGAUCAAACUACUUGGGAGACCAGUUUGGGAAUAUGUUUAAAAUUUUUAAACAUACACACCAUAUGGCCCAGGGAUGCCACUUGUAUCUACCAUGGUGGGCAAGGGAAAAAAAAAAAAAAACAGACUUCUUUUGAGAAAUAGGAAUGAGGGUUAGGGCUUGAGCCCAGUGCCUUGUACCUGCUAAGCAUCAGUUCUGUCGCUGAGUCCUUACACUCCCAGCCUCCAGAAAAACAUUAGUAUUCAAGAUAGCAAGCAUAACAGUGUUCAGUUGAGGAAUUGUCGAUAAUAGUAAAA